rnacentral:rRNA from 1 species
UCAGCUAAGGUCCCUAAAUGUAAGUUAAGUGGUAAAGGAUGUGGGAUUGCACAGACAACCAGGAUGUUGGCUUAGAAGCAGCCACUCAUUCAAAGAGUGCGUAAUAGCUCACUGGUCGAGUGAUCCUGCGCCGAAGAUUUCCGGGGCUAAAACUUACUACCGAAGCUACGGCAUCAGUAAUGAUGGGUAGGGGAGCUUCCC